rnacentral:rRNA from 1 species
GAUGAACGCUAGCUACAGGCUUAACACAUGCAAGUCGAGGGGAAACGACAUCGAAAGCUUGCUUUUGAUGGGCGUCGACCGGCGCACGGGUAAGUAACGCGUAUCCAACCUGCCCACCACUUGGGGAUAACCUUGCGAAAGUAAGACUAAUACCCAAUGACGUCUCUAGAAGACAUCUGAAAGAGAUUAAAGAUUUAUCGGUGAUGGAUGGGGAUGCGUCUGAUUAGCUUGUUGGCGGGGUAACGGCCCACCAAGGCGACGAUCAGUAGGGGUUCUGAGGGGAAGGUCCCCCACAUUGGAACUGAGACACGGUCCAAACUCCUACGGGAGGCAGCAGUGAGGAAUAUUGGUCAAUGGGCGAGAGCCUGAACCAGCCAAGUAGCGUGCAGGAAGACGGCCCUAUGGGUUGUAAACUGCUUUUAUAAGGGAAUAAAGUGGGAGUCGUGACUCCUUUUGCAUGUACCUUAUGAAUAAGGACCGGCUAAUUCCGUGCCAGCAGCCGCCGUAA